UGAUCAGGGGUUUAGUUAAAAAUAUAUAUGUGUAUACAAAUAUGUUUUAUGUUAUUAAACUAGUUCAUAUUUUUUAACUACAUUAAAGUAGGAAUUCCACAUACUUAUUCAUAAAUAUGUUAUUUAUUCAACUCCGUAUUUAUUUUAACACAUGUAUAUUUCACGGAUUUUUCUAAGGCUUCCGAUCAUCAGCCGCCCAGCCAAAAUUUU
rnacentral:lncRNA from 1 species